rnacentral:rRNA from 1 species
UACGUAGGGUGCAAGCGUUAAUCGGAAUUACUGGGCGUAAAGCGUGCGCAGGCGGUUAUGUAAGACAGAUGUGAAAUGCCCGGGCUUAACCUGGGAACUGCAUUUGUGACUGCAUGGCUAGAGUUUGGCAGAGGGGGGUAGAAUUCCACGUGUAGCAGUGAAAUGCGUAGAUAUGUGGAGGAACACCGAUGGCGAAGGCAGCCCCCUGGGUCAAGACUGACGCUCAUGCACGAAAGCGUGGGGAGCAAACAGGAUUAGAAACCC